AAAAACAAGGAAAUUUCAGAGUUUCGAAAGUUGGAAAAUUGGAGAAAUCUCCAAGUGUUCUAGAAAAUUUUGGGGAUUAAUCUGAAAAUUUCAGAGUUUUUUGGCAGAAAUUUAUUCCUUUUUUUGUCUCUUGUACGCUGUCGUAGCUUUCUCACAAACUCCUCACAUAGAAAGUCUUGGUUGUACAACUUGCUGAAAAAGACGCUUCUUUGAUCAGAUAAAAAAAAAAAAAAGUCUGCGGGAAAUGUUUUUUAAUCCGAUCUGUCUGACUUUUUCGCUCUCUCCAGCCUUAAAGUCUCCUCUUUGAUGCAUUCUGCUUGAUCCACCUUUCUUCUCACACACCUGUUUGACUUGUUCUUUUGAUCCUGUGCCUUUGUCAGCAUAUCUAAAGAUAGCGUUGAGAGCAGGAGGCUGUGGUUGUGUCUCCGAAGAGAGAAGAAUCAGACGGCCUGUUCGGCCUCACGUAAACAGUGCAAGUCUAAUUUUUAGAUAACAGGUCGAUCAGGUUAUUUAAGGACAGAAAGGAGAGAGAAAAUGCAAAACAAACCCAGCAUAUGUGACAAAGAGUGAGUUUCUGGAAUAAAGUGGGAGCUAACUCUGUCAAAUGCACCUAGAACAUCACUGCUAAUGGAUCCCUACAGCCAAAUGGCCUCAGGCCAAAGAUACACUUGAUGCACUGAAAGGAAACUAAAAAGAAAAAUCCUCAGGAAAUGUUGGCGAUGGCUGCCACUUAUCCUGUAGCUCUGUGUGCCACCAAAAUGCCUUUCCAAUCUGAUUUAGACCCAACGAUAGACGCUUUCGUCUUUAUAGCCUAAAAGGAAUCUGGAACCUACAAUUAUGAGAUUUGAGCUACAGAAAUUUUACUUUUGGACAGUUGCUAUGAUACGUAGCUCUGAUUAGUAUCUCAAAAGUUCAAGUGAUACCUAAACUAGAAGCGAAUGUUGUCAUUCUCAUCACUUUCUUUUUGUUGUUUUGUUUUCCAUUACUAAUUUUAAGGCAUUUAUUACUGCAGUAUUUCUAUGUUUUUAUUCUGAAAAUCCCAAUUUGUAACCCAGUUGGUUUUGGGCCGAUUAGGAAUUUGAAACCCACUCUUGCAAAAAA